rnacentral:rRNA from 1 species
UUCGCAAUGCCCGAAAGGGUGACGGAGCGACGCCGCGUGUGGGACGAAGCCCUUCGGGGUGUAAACCACUGUCAGGGGACAGAAAGUUCUGAUCGUCCCCAGAGGAAGGCACGGCUAACUCUGUGCCAGCAGCCGCGGUAAGCCAGAGGUGCCAAGCGUUAGGCGGAAUCACUGGGCUUAAAGCGUGUGUAGGCGGGUGCCUAAGUACCUUGUGAAAUCCCACGGCUCAACCGUGGAACUGCUGGGUAUACUGGGUGCCUUGGGUCAUCUAGGGGCUGCCGGAACGAAUGGUGGAGCGGUGAAAUGCGUAGAUAUCAUUUGGAACGCCAACGGCGAAAGCAGGCAGCUGGGGAUGCACCGACGCUGAGACACGAAAGCCAGGGGAGCGAACGGGAUUAGAUACCCUGGUAGUCCUGGCCGUAAACGAUGGGCACUAAGUAGAGGGGUUUU